rnacentral:rRNA from 1 species
UUUAGCGGGCCGCGAAUUCUCCCUUCGAGAGAGGGAGCAUGAGAAACUUCUACCACAUCCAAGGAAGGCUGCAGGCGCGCAAAUUACCCAAUCCCGACACGAGGAGGUAGUGACAAUAUGUAACAAUAUACGGCUUUAUUGUCGUAUAAUUGGAAUGAGUACAAUUUAAAUCCCUUAACGAGGAACAAUUGGAGGGCAAGUCUGGUGCCAGCAGCCGCGGUAAUUCCAGCUCCAAUAGCGUAUAUUAAAGUUGUUGCAGUUAAAAAGCUCGUAGUUGGACCUUGGGCCUGGACAGGCGGACCGCCUCACGGCGUGUACUGUCUUGCUGGGCCUUUCCUCUUGGUGAUCUGUGGUUUCGGCCGCAGGGAACCAGGACCUUUACUUUGAAUAAAUUAGAGUGUUCAAAGCACGCUUUACACCCCAAUUAUAUUAGCAUGGAAUAAUAAAAUAGGACGUGCGGGUUCUGUUUUGUUGGUUUUUGGGAUCGCC